rnacentral:rRNA from 1 species
GACGAACGCUGGCGGCAUGCUUAACACAUGCAAGUCGAGCGAAGUGGCGAACGGGUGAGUAACGCGUAAGCAUCCUGCCCUUCGGAGGGGGUCACCAGUUGGAACCGACUGCUAAUACCGCAUACUGAUGGGCGGGUUUGCGUCGGAUUAGCUAGUUGGGGGGGUAACGGCCCACCAAGGCGACGAUCAGUAGCCGGUCUGAGAGGAUGAACAGCCACAUUGGGACUGCGACACGGCCCAGACUCCGACGGGAGGCAGCAGUGGGGAAUAUUGCACAAUGGGCGCAAGCCUGAUGCAGCCAUGCCGCGUGUAUGAAGAAGGCCUUCGGGUUGUAAAGUACUUUCAGUGGGGAGCGUUACCAGCAGAAGAAGCACCGGCUAACUCCGUGCCAGCAGCCGCGGUAAUUC